UACGUAGGGUGCAGGCGUUAAUCGGAAUUACUGGGCGUAAAGGGUGCGUAGGCGGGUCUUUAAGUCAGGGGUGAAAUCCUGGAGCUCAACUCCAGAACUGCCUUUGAUACUGAAGAUCUUGAGUUCGGGAGAGGUGAGUGGAACUGCGAGUGUAGAGGUGAAAUUCGUAGAUAUUCGCAAGAACACCAGUGGCGAAGGCGGCUCACUGGCCCGAUACUGACGCUGAGGCACGAAAGCGUGGGGAGCAAACAGGG
rnacentral:rRNA from 1 species